rnacentral:rRNA from 1 species
AUUGAACGCUGGCGGCAUGCCUUACACAUGCAAGUCGAACGGCAGCGCGGGGCAACCUGGCGGCGAGUGGCGAACGGGUGAGUAAUAUAUCGGAACAUACCCUAGAGUGGGGGAUAACGUAGCGAAAGUUACGCUAAUACCGCAUACGCACUAAGGUGGAAAGUGGGGGAUUCGCAAGAACCUCAUGCUCAUGGAGUGGCCGAUAUCUGAUUAGCUAGUUGGUGAGGUAAAGGCUCACCAAGGCGACGAUCAGUAGCUGGUUUGAGAGAACGACCAGCCACACUGGAACUGAGACACGGUCCAGACUCCUACGGAGGCAGCAGUGGGGAAUUUUGGACAAUGGGGGCAACCCUGAUCCAGCAAUGCCGCGUGAGUGAAGAAGGCC